UACGGAGGGUGCAAGCGUUAUCCGGAUUUACUGGGGUUUAAAGGGUGUGUAGGCGGGCUGUUAAGUCAGUGGUGAAAUCUCCGGGCUCAACCCGGAAACUGCCAUUGAUACUAAUGGUCUUGAAUUUUGUUGAGGUAGGCGGAAUAAGUCAUGUAGCGGUGAAAUGCAUAGAUAAUGACUUAGAACACCAAUUGCGAAGGCAGCUUGCUAA
rnacentral:rRNA from 1 species